UACAGAGGGUGCGAGCGUUGUUCGGAAUUAUUGGGCGUAAAGGGCUCGUAGGCGGUCUGUUGCGUCGGGAGUGAAAACUCAGGGCUUAACCCUGAGCCUGCUUCCGAUACGGGCAGACUAGAGGUAUGCAGGGGAGAACGGAAUUCCUGGUGUAGCGGUGAAAUGCGCAGAUAUCAGGAGGAACACCGGUGGCGAAGGCGGUUCUCUGGGCAUUACCUGACGCUGAGGAGCGAAAGUGUGGGGAGCGAACAGG
rnacentral:rRNA from 1 species